GACGAACGCUGGCGGCGUGCUUAACACAUGCAAGUCGAACGGAAAGGCCCUGCUUUUGUUGGGUGCUCGAGUGGCGAACGGGUGAGUAACACGUGAGUAACCUGCCCUUGACUUUGGGAUAACUUCAGGAAACUGGGGCUAAUACCGGAUAUGAGCUCCUGCUGCAUGGUGGGGGUUGGAAAGUUUCGGCGGUUGGGGAUGGACUCGCGGCUUAUCAGCUUGUUGGUGGGGUAGUGGCUUACCAAGGCUUUGACGGGUAGCCGGCCUGAGAGGGUGACCGGCCACAUUGGGACUGAGAUACGGGCCAGACUCCUACGGGAGGCAGCAGUGGGGAAUAUUGCACAAUGGGCGGAAGCCUGAUGCAGCAACGCCGCGUGCGGGAUGACGGCCUUCGGGUUGUAAACCGCUUUCGCCUGUGACGAAGCGUGAGUGACGGUAAUGGGUAAAGAAGCACCGGCUAACUACGUG
rnacentral:rRNA from 1 species